AGAGGAAUAUCUGGGUCAAAUGGUGGUUCCAUACCCAGAUUUCCAAGGAAUCUCCAUACUGCUUUCCAUAUUGGCUGCACCAAUUUGCAGUCCCACCAGCUGU
rnacentral:pre_miRNA from 1 species